rnacentral:misc_RNA from 1 species
UGUGGGAGCGGGCUUGCUCGCGAUAGCGGUGGUUCAGUCAAUUCACCAGUGACUGACACACUGCUAUCGCGAGCAAGCCCGCUCCCACA